rnacentral:rRNA from 1 species
UAGGGAAUCUUCGGCAAUGGGGGGAACCCUGACCGAGCAACGCCGCGUGAGUGAAGAAGGUUUUCGGAUCGUAAAGCUCUGUUGUAAGUCAAGAACGAGUGUGAGAGUGGAAAGUUCACACUGUGACGGUAGCUUACCAGAAAGGGACGGCUAACUACGUGCCAGCAGCCGCGGUAAUACGUAGGUCCCGAGCGUUGUCCGGAUUCAUUGGGCGUAAAGCGAGCGCAGGCGGUUUGAUAAGUCUGAAGUUAAAGGCUGUGGCUCAACCAUAGUUCGCUUUGGAAACUGUCAAACUUGAGUGCAGAAGGGGAGAGUGGAAUUCCAUGUGUAGCGGUGAAAUGCGUAGAUAUAUGGAGGAACACCGGUGGCGAAAGCGGCUCUCUGGUCUGUAACUGACGCUGAGGCUCGAAAGCGUGGGGAGCGAACAGGAUUAGAUACCCUGGUAGUCCACGCCGUAAACGAUGAGUGCUAGGUGUUGGAUCCUUUCCGGGAUUCAGUGCCGCAGCUAACGCAUUAAGCACUCCGCCUGGGGAGUACGACCGCAAGGUUG